rnacentral:rRNA from 1 species
CCUACGGAGGCUGCAGUGAGGAAUAUUGGUCAAUGGGCGCGAGCCUGAACCAGCCAAGUAGCGUGAAGGAUGACUGCCCUACGGGUUGUAAACUUCUUUUAUAAAGGAAUAAAGUGAGGCACGUGUGCCUUUUUGUAUGUACUUUAUGAAUAAUGAUCGGCUAACUCCGUGCCAGCAGCCGCGGUCAUACGGAGGAUCCGAGCGUUAUACGGAGUUAUUGGGUUUAAAGGGAGAGUAGAUGGGUUGUUAAGUCAGUUGUGAAAGUUUGCGGGUCAACCGUAAAAUUGCAAUUGAUACUGGCAGCCUUGAGUACAGUUGAGGUAGGCGGAAUUCGUGGUGUAGCGGUGAAAUGCUUAGAUAUCACGAAGAACUCCGAUUGCGAAGGCAGCUUACUAAACUGCCACUGACAUUGAUGCUCGAAAGUGUGGGUAUCAAACAGGAUUAGAUACCCUUGUAGUC